rnacentral:misc_RNA from 1 species
AAAUAUAGCGCAGUCGGCUGCGUAGACUCUCAGCGGAGCAGUUUAUUGUGUGAUGUAUACGGCGUUUAUAUAUGCGAUAACAGCUCGGUAAAAUCGAGACCGAGGUCGAAAGACACUUGUGCGCGGCAGGUAGCAGUGAAUGCGUGCCGGCAAUCGCGGGUGCGUCUUCGAGAACGCAAAAACCAGGAACUGAUCCGAUAAAUGAGUUUGCAAGAUAGCCUGUUCGCCGAAGAUGUCGAAGACGACGUGACCAUCUUCGCGAGGAAUAAAACGCGCAAAAGAGUGCUCGUCUUUCCGCCCGUGAACAACUAUCGCCGGUACAUAAUACACCAGCUGGUGCAGGAGCGUUUCUCGGAGCUAUUGCACACCUUCUCGAUCGGCCAAGGCGUGGACAGGCGUACCGUGGUAUGCUACAAGAGCGACUUGAGAAGGGACUGGGAGCCGAAAACGAAUGCCCUUGAGUCGAAAGUGAGUCCUACGGCGAAACAAGUGGACGCGACUCGCAAGAUGGGUGUUGAAGAUCGACGAUCGUCCUCGACGUCUCCGGAACACGCGCAAGUACAGCGACAAGCCAAGUUGGUACCGGCGGUCGAAAUCUACAGGCCACCGGCGGCCAGGAGAGCCAAUAAUUGCUCGCAGGCGAGCGGGACGCAAAUACAGUCGACUGCGGAUUCUCCGUCGGUCAAAAAUACACGGCAAAGGCGGCCUGAUCGAGCGGUUUACAUACCUAGGCACCGUAGGAGUUUGGAAGCCGAAGAAAAGAGGCCACGAAAUCUAAAAUCUUCUUGUACAAAUUACGCCACAUCGAGUAGGGAUCCAAAUACGAAUGACAAUUCUCAAGCACAGGAUGCAUGUUGCAUUCAACAAAGUACAAGCGAUUCGGGCUUAGAUAACAAGUUGCCCGAGAGCCACAGUUCGAAUAUCGAGGAUAAUCGAUUGCCACAGAAGGUACCGGAGAAUAUAGAUUCCGACAAAGUCGUCAAUCAUGAAACAAACGAUGAUGUCGAGUAUACUCGUAAACUGUCGGAAGUGCCGAAGGAAGAUGUGCCAAUUUUACCGGAACAAAUGGAGACCGUGGCGACUAAUAGCCUUAACGAAAGUAAUAAUACUAAUCCCAGUUUAUUAGAGUCGUCCGAUAAAAUUGAAGUCAACGAUCAACAAUUAGAAACGUCGCAGUCAACCGUGACAGAAUGCCAGCCGACAGCGGAGCGUUUGAGUAGCAACAACACGACGAGCGAUCAAAACGAACGACUAGUCAGGCGGAACGUCGUGAUGUCGGACGUGUUGAUAAUUUCCGAUAUUGUCGAGGACAAACCGAAAAACACCGAGCAAGUCCCGGCGAUUUUAACGUCACCUGAAAAGAAAGUGAAAAAGAUCGAGAGACCGAAGAGUAAACCAGCCCCGCCACCUUCUCCGCCUUUGAAAAUAAAUAGAGAUGAGUGCGAUUGGGAUAGUUUGUUCGAUGACAACGGAGAUUGUCUUGAUCCAACGUUGAUAGAGGAGCUUACGUCGGCAGUGGGUGAAGUAAUGGUGGAGCAACCAAAGAAUGAUUACAAGGCGUACACCAAACAGGUCCAAGUGUCCAGCGACGAAUUCGCACACGUUGUAGAGAUUUACAAUUUCCCCUCAGAAUUUAAGACUAGCGAUCUAGCGGCUGUUUUUAGUCCCUUCAGGAACGGUGGCUUUGAACUCAAGUGGGUAGACGACACCCACUGCUUGGGAGUCUUCAGCAGUCCUCUCAUUGCCGCCGAAGUGUUAGCAUCCGAUCAUCCAUUCGUGAAAACGAGACCACUCAGCGAAGCUAGCGCUUUGAGCAAAACGAAGGCGAGAAAAAGCGCGGAAUUUUUGCAACCUUAUAGGAAUCGUCCCGAGACGUGCGCCGCUUUAGCUAGGAGAUUAGUCACAGGUGCGUUGGGUGUGAAGCUCGCUACAGCUAGACAAGAACGCGAGCAUGAAAAGAAUGUACUGCGCGAGGCGAAAGAGAAGAGACGAUUAGCCAACAAACAACGAGAAGAUGUCUGGGAAGGCAUCAUACCUGGGAAGUAGCAUUGCAUCCUAUUAAUAUGAGAGUAUCUAUAAAAAUCAUUUGUGCACUCGGUUCCACGGAUGUUUAUCAUCGAUAGAUCGAUAAUUAUCAAAAGUUUUCGGUCAGCCGCACUGGACUGUAGCUAUAUAUUUCUUACGACUUGAUUAAUAUAGGAAGCAGAUAUGUUCCUGCUUUCGCAAUCGCAGUCACAAAAAAUGUGCAGCUAGAAUCUGAUGUGACUAACUGAAAACUUUUAGCAACUAUCUAUGUAUCUAUGGUAAGAUACCCGCGGGACUGAAUGUAUCUUCUCGUACUACACACUUUAUACAUGUCAUCGCGGUUGCGUAAUUGAUAUAGUUCACAGGAUUCGCGUAGUGUUAUCCUUGCAUCAGCACGGUCAAUGACGCUUAAAGAUGGGCAGGCGGUGAAUGAACGAACAGCGAACGCAAACUUCCGCCGCUGCAGUUGGAAGAUGUGUUUGAUGGGAGUCUAUAAUAGGUCGUUUUAAUGCAAAUUCGAUUUGAUUCGAUUCGUUUACAAAGCGGCACGUUGAUGAAAGUCCAUGUGAACGCCAGUACAAAGAUGUUAUCCCAUAUUAUGUAUGUGCGCUUUUGUUUUCUUAUUCUAAAUCAGUGAUUGUGAUAAACCUUAUCUCUAAAAUGAUCAAUACGGUGAGCAUUAUUAUAUGAGCAUCCUUUAUUUAAAAAGGCCUUUUAUGUCGCUGCUCUGUCCUUUGGAUUUGUUUUUCUAAAAUGGCCAUUUGUCUUUUAUUUUAUCCGAAGGAUAUACUCUUCGUAUCAAUAUGUGAAGAAACGAACGCCCAAACACCAUCGUUCGUUGUUCAUUCGUUCAGCACAUGCUCGCCUUGAGGUUGCAGGCGCUCUCGUGAAACGUCUGCACAUACAGUUGUGCCUUACUUAUUUAUCUUUUACGUUAUAGUUAGAAAUAAAGACAAUUUAUCAGACACACAACUUAUAUGCAUAUAUAAAUUCGCUAAUUUACCAAUGCGUCGAUUCUGACUCAUCCGCGAUGAUUUAUCUAUUUCUCUCGGUAGACGAUUCGACAUACAACUUUAAGUUCAAUAUACAGAUAUUGCGAUUGUUAAAUAUCUGAUUACUUAGAAUAUCGAAUAAUUAUCCUUUACUACUUGUAAGACGAUAACACUUUACGAGUAAUAUUUUGUAAACGUAUCACGAAGAAAAAAAUACUCAGAGCCGGAAAUAUUAACGGUAGCAUGAACGCCUUCCGAUGCGAAAGUGUAAGUUUUUUUUACUGAUGUGAAAACAAAACCGACGUGUUAGCACAGCUCGCACUCGUAACAUUUUAGAAAAUUGUAAACUGAGAUGUUAUUAUCUCGAUGGCUGUCACAGUGUUGAGUUUACGCGCGACAAACGAGUGAUAAUGUGUGGUGCAGUUUAAUUGCGAGACAAUAAGUUGUAAGAGGCGAUACUUUCACGACAUACAACGAUUCAUCACGUAGCGAUAUAUCAAAAUACAUCUUUGCAUGAUCUUGUACAGUCCAACGGCGGAACUUGAUAUAACUUUAUCAAAAAAAUGGUGGCAU